AUGAACGCUGGCGGCGUGCCUAAUACAUGCAAGUCGAGCGAACAGAUAAGGAGCUUGCUCCUUUGACGUUAGCGGCGGACGGGUGAGUAACACGUGGGUAACCUACCUAUAAGACUGGGAUAACUUCGGGAAACCGGAGCUAAUACCGGAUAACAUUUGGAACCGCAUGGUUCUAAAGUGAAAGAUGGUUUUGCUAUCACUUAUAGAUGGACCCGCGCCGUAUUAGCUAGUUGGUAAGGUAACGGCUUACCAAGGCGACGAUACGUAGCCGACCUGAAAGGGUGAUCGGCCACACUGGAACUGAGACACGGUCCAGACUCCUACGGGAGGCAGCAGUAGGGAAUCUUCCGCAAUAGGCGAAAGCCUGACGGAGCAACGCCGCGUGAGUGAUGAAGGGUUUCGGCUCGUAAAACUCUGUUAUUAGGGAAGAACAAAUGUGUAAGUAACUGUGCACGUCUUGACGGUACCUAAUCAGAAAGCCACGGCUAACUACGUG
rnacentral:rRNA from 1 species